rnacentral:rRNA from 1 species
UGCAGUCGAGCGGUAACAGGAAAUAGCUUGCUAUUUCGCUGACGAGCGGCGGACGGGUGAGUAAUGCAUAGGAAGUUGCCCAGUAGAGGGGGAUAACCAUUGGAAACGAUGGCUAAUACCGCAUGACCUCUUCGGAGCAAAGCAGGGGACCUUCGGGCCUUGCGCUAUUGGAUACGCCUAUGUGGGAUUAGCUAGUUGGUGAGGUAAUGGCUCACCAAGGCAACGAUCCCUAGCUGGUCUGAGAGGAUGAUCAGCCACACUGGGACUGAGACACGGCCCAGACUCCUACGGGAGGCAGCAGUGGGGAAUAUUGCACAAUGGGCGAAAGCCUGAUGCAGCCAUGCCGCGUGUAUGAAGAAGGCCUUCGGGUUGUAAAGUACUUUCAGUUGUGAGGAAGGUUUCGUAGUUAAUAACUGCGUUGCUUGACGUUAGCAACAGAAGAAGCACCGGCUAACUCCGUGCCAGCAGCCGCGGUAAUACGGAGGGUGCGAGCGUUAAUCGGAAUUACUGGGCGUAAAGCGCAUGCAGGUGGUUUGUUAAGUCAGAUGUGAAAGCCCGGGGCUCAACCUCGGAAGGUCAUUUGAAACUGGCAAACUAGAGUACUGUAGAGGGGGGUAGAAUUUCAGGUGUAGCGGUGAAAUGCGUAGAGAUCUGAAGGAAUACCAGUGGCGAAG